rnacentral:rRNA from 1 species
UGGGGAAUUUUGGACAAUGGGCGAAAGCCUGAUCCAGCAAUGCCGCGUGUGUGAAGAAGGCCUUCGGGUUGUAAAGCACUUUUGUCCGGAAAGAAAUCCUUGGCUCUAAUACAGUCGGGGGAUGACGGUACCGGAAGAAUAAGCACCGGCUAACUACGUGCCAGCAGCCGCGGUAAUACGUAGGGUGCAAGCGUUAAUCGGAAUUACUGGGCGUAAAGCGUGCGCAGGCGGUUUGCUAAGACCGAUGUGAAAUCCCCGGGCUCAACCUGGGAACUGCAUUGGUGACUGGCAGGCUAGAGUAUGGCAGAGGGGGGUAGAAUUCCACGUGUAGCAGUGAAAUGCGUAGAGAUGUGGAGGAAUACCGAUGGCGAAGGCAGCCCCCCUGGGCCAAUACUGACGCUCAUGCACGAAAGCGUGGGGAGCAAACAGGAUUAGAUACCCUGGUAGUCCACGCCCUAAACGAUGUCAACUAGUUGUUGGGGAUUUUAUUUCCUUAGUAACGUAGCUAACGCGUGAAGUUGACCGCCUGGGGAGUAC